rnacentral:pre_miRNA from 1 species
UAAGUACUCUCUCCGUCCGGAAAUACUUGUUAUAGGAAUGGAUGUAUCUAUAUGUAUUUUAGUUCUAGAUACAUUUAUUUUUAUCUAUUUGUGCGACAAGUAAUUCCGGAUGGAGGGAGUACUUG